rnacentral:ribozyme from 1 species
AAAAAAAAAAAAAACAGAAACAGAAGCACUGUGAUUAUCCGUACUUCUCUCGUCUUCCUAUAUUUUUCUUU